GCCAGUUGCAAAGCCAGCAGGUUUCAGCCCCUUGCCCGAGGAAGUGGCAUUUCUGAAGCCUCUGCCGCGCUGCCCACCGCACAAGGCACCCAGUGGGUCUCACCCGCGCGGCUGCAGGGGCAGGAGCAUCCCGUGCGACGGCACAGCUCCUUUCUGCUGAUGACUUGUGGGGAGAGCCUACUCCAGACUGACUUUUAAAAGUUUAAUUUGCCAAAGAGCCCAAGCACCCCAAGGGGCUUGCCCGGCUCACCCACUGACGGUGCAUGCUGUCCCUGCGGAAACAGCCGGGGUCAAGAUGCUGGAGGAGGCAUCAGGGCUGCAAGUUGUUUCCAAGUCCCCAGGUCAAGUGAUUAGAUUAUCCCAAUAUGGUUAUCCCAAUAUAAUUCAUCUCAUGCAGCAGGUCUGACCUUAUGUGCAGCAGCUACUGGAAAGGAAAAUAAAUUUGUAGUAAAAAAAUCUUUCAAAAUGGUCCGCGUGAGAGCUGGGCAAAAUAAAUAGGAUGAGCCCUUCGUCUCCCACUGUGCCCGCAGCUGCCACCCCGGCAGGCGCUUUCGCUUCUCCAUCCGUGCCCUUGCCUUCCUCCAGGCCAGGGAGCAGGCGGCACGCAGGGGCAGAGGUGGGAUGGGGAGCAGGGACAGCAGGGGUGCAGGCAGCCACCCCAUUGAGCAGCUUUGCAGCAGGAGCCUCCAGGGGCUGCUCAAGGGAGGAAGGGAAUCAGUGUUUUUGCAUGUGCUUUGGUUCCUCCUUUCAUUACUAAUGAAAAUCAGCUGACCUGCUUGCCUGGAAAACUGUGUGUCAGCCAAGACACCCACUUCCCCCCGGCCAAGGCCCGAGGAAGGGCGAGCCUGCGCUCGACCUCAAGCUCCUAAAAUAGUGCAAAGCCCUGAUUUCUGCGUCCAGCACUCGCUGCGGGGCAGAGCCUGACGCACCGCUGUUCGUCCUUGCCGAAAAGGCACCUGGUGCUGUGGGGCUGCUGGCUGACCCUGCGACGUGCCGCUGUGGUCCGCGUGAGGUCUACCGGCUUCGAAAAUGUGUGCUCUGGGGACGGCACAGCCACAGAAUGGAACGGGGCUGCGGGCAAGUCCAUCACGUUUCGUCUGCAGCGCCUCUUGGGAAAGCACGUAGCCUGGCACUUUCAGAGCGAACUGCUAGCAACUGUCAAAUUUGGAAACCCUCCUGACAUCAUUUAUUUUGACCAAACCUACAAGAGUCGCCUGAACUUCUCUGCCAAUGGCACCGCAAUCACCAUCUCGCAGCUGGCAAUGGAAGACGCUGGCAUCUACACGGCUAAAUUCUCUACAACGGCAAAAGCUCUCUUCAUCCUGCAUGUGUACGCGGAGCUGCCGCAGCCAGCGAUCACCUGCAUCUGGAGCAACUGCUCCACCGCCGCCUGCCACUACCGC
rnacentral:lncRNA from 1 species